rnacentral:rRNA from 1 species
GACGAACGCUGGCGGCGUGCUUAACACAUGCAAGUCGAACGAAGAGCGAUGGAAGCUUGCUUCUAUCAAUCUUAGUGGCGAACGGGUGAGUAACGCGUAAUCAACCUGCCCUUCAGAGGGGGACAACAGUUGGAAACGACUGCUAAUACCGCAUACGAUCUAAUCUCGGCAUCGAGGAUAGAUGAAAGGUGGCCUCUACAUGUAAGCUAUCACUGAAGGAGGGGAUUGCGCCUGAUUAGCUAGUUGGAGGGGUAACGGCCCACCAAGGCGAUGAUCAGUAGCCGGUCUGAGAGGAUGAACGGCCACAUUGGGACUGAGACACGGCCCAGACUCCUACGGGAGGCAGCAGUGGGGAAUCUUCCGCAAUGGACGAAAGUCUGACGGAGCAACGCCGCGUGAGUGAUGACGGCCUUCGGGUUGUAAAGCUCUGUUAAUCGGGACGAAAGGCCUUCUUGCGAAUAGUGAGAAGGAUUGACGGUACCGGAAUAGAAAGCCACGGCUAACUACGUG